GUGAGUCAUCGAAUCUUUGAACGCAUCUUGCGCUCCUUGGUAUUCCGAGGAGCAUGCCUGUUUGAGUGUCAUUUGAGUUUCUCAAACCAUGCUGAUUUUAUUGGCGUUGGCUUUGGAUGUGGGGGUUUUUGUUUGGUCAGGCUUUUGAAAUAUGAAGUCGGCUCCCCUGAAAUGCAUUAGCGGUAUCUGAGCAGAGACUACUUACAGGUGUGAUAAAUUAUCUAUCUAUGCCUUGGUAUGCUGCAUGAAACAGAUUGCACCGCUUAUAACAAGUGGAAAUUUGACAAGUUUGACCUCAAAUCAGGUAGGACUACCCGCUGAACUUAAGCAUAUCAAUAAGCGGAGG
rnacentral:rRNA from 1 species